GUCCAUAUUUGCAGUGCACAAUGAUAACAUUAGUCGUGGGGGAGUUGGUACUUGUACAUAACACAACUUAACUCUUUUUAACCUUUCCUUCCCUUCCCGCCCUAUUUAUCUUGUCCGUUGAGUGCCUAUUCCCAAUAGAACGCUAAACGAGGGCUUUGCUCCAGCGCCUAGAACAAGCCCUGGCUCUUCCAACUACUCAGCUUGACCGUGGCUGUAGGAAUCUUCCCAAAUCUGCCCAAUAGCCAAGUGGUCGACUGCCUCGGGUUUUCGAAUCACAUGAUCACGGCGGCCCCGCCCCUCUUCCUAGGAAGGGAAGAUGGCGGCUCCCGAGAGGGCUUCAAUGAGGGCAACGAACGAGAAGACUCUCGUCCGCCAGAGCGUCCGCGCCUCUGCAUUUUUUUCUACGAUAUACACCAGACACUAAGAACUACAGUCCAGGCUGAGUGUGAGGGCUGAGGACCACAGAAGGGAUCCUGCUGGUGUCUUGUGACCUGGGGCCUCUGUUUCCAAUGGCUUGGGGGUAGAGACAGUUGGUCCCCAGGGUCAAAUACAGAGUUCCGAUGUGACGUAAGCCAACUCACCUCUUUAGCCCUCUGCCAUACCAGCCCCUCACUCCACCCUGCCUGGCUUCCCUUUGCACAACUGUCUCUCACCAGUUAGGCAUGUGAUUCCUC
rnacentral:lncRNA from 1 species